AUUGAACGCUGGCGGCAGGCCUAACACAUGCAAGUCGAGCGGAUGAAGGGAGCUUGCUCCUGGAUUCAGCGGCGGACGGGUGAGUAAUGCCUAGGAAUCUGCCUGGUAGUGGGGGAUAACGUCCGGAAACGGGCGCUAAUACCGCAUACGUCCUGAGGGAGAAAGUGGGGGAUCUUCGGACCUCACGCUAUCAGAUGAGCCUAGGUCGGAUUAGCUAGUUGGUGGGGUAAAGGCCUACCAAGGCGACGAUCCGUAACUGGUCUGAGAGGAUGAUCAGUCACACUGGAACUGAGACACGGUCCAGACUCCCACGGGAGGCAGCAGUGGGGAAUAUUGGACAAUGGGCGAAAGCCUGAUCCAGCCAUGCCGCGUGUGUGAAGAAGGUCUUCGGAUUGUAAAGCACUUUAAGUUGGGAGGAAGGGCAGUAAGUUAAUACCUUGCUGUUUUGACGUUACCAACAGAAUAAGCACCGGCUAACUUCG
rnacentral:rRNA from 1 species